AUAUGAUGAAAAACGGCUUGAAUAAAAACUAGCAUUCAAUCCGCACAAAGUCAGCCUUUGCCUUGAGAAGUUUAGAGAUUUUUCUACUACUUCGGCCUUCAUGCCAUGGAUCUAUUGAUCUGAUGCUAGCUACUGAAGAGUGACGAGCAAAAAAGGGGCAAAGCAUCAUGGAUUGCCUUUCUGAUAUGGAUUGCUCAUCCGAUGAGGAAGGAAACAUAUUACCAAACCUUAGCUGCUCAGAAGCAGGAACAGAGCAAAGGUAAGAAUAUCUAUUUUUCUAUCAGUUUUCUAU